CCUACGGGAGGCAGCAGUGGGGAAUAUUGGACAACGGGGGGAACCCUGAUCCAGCCAUGCCGCGUGUGUGAAGAAGGCCCUCGGGUUGUAAAGCACUUUCAGUGAGGAAGAACGCCUGGUGGUUAAUACCCAUCAGGAAAGACAUCACUCACAGAAGAAGCACCGGCUAACUCCGUGCCAGCAGCCGCGGUAAUACGGAGGGUGCGAGCGUUAAUCGGAAUUACUGGGCGUAAAGCGCGCGUAGGUGGCUUGAUAAGCCGGUUGUGAAAGCCCCGGGCUCAACCUGGGAACGGCAUCCGGAACUGUCAAGCUAGAGUGCAGGAGAGGAAGGUAGAAUUCCCGGUGUAGCGGUGAAAUGCGUAGAGAUCGGGAGGAAUACCAGUGGCGAAGGCGGCCUUCUGGACUGACACUGACACUGAGGUGCGAAAGCGUGGGUAGCAAACAGGAUUAGAUACCCGUGUAGUC
rnacentral:rRNA from 1 species